UGGGGGUGAGCAGGCGCCCGGCUGCGGCAGGGCGCACCGGGGCGGGGGGCGCCGCACUGCUUUCCCGGCGGGGACUCGUCCCUGACCGGCCGGAACUGGCAACCGCAGCGCCCGCAACUUCCCGCCGUCGGGGCGCGGGGCUGGUUGGUCAGCAGGACGAACCCGAGGCGGUGGGCCGGGCGGGGGGAAUCUGGGGGCGCAUGGCGCGAGCGGCAGCUGCGGCCCAGGCAGAAGCUGGGAGCGGGAAGCGGCUCGCUCAGCUCCCCUGCAACCUGGUCAUCGAGAGGCGGCAGUCAGAGAGGGCGAGGAGCUGGGGCUGCCCGAGGGCGCCGGGCUGGAAGUUGGGCCGCUUCAAGUGCCGUUCAGGGAAGCCCGCGCUGCGCUCCAGCCUCGCGGACUUCGGGCUCCUCUGGCUCGUGCCUGCAGACCCCUGGCUUCAGCCGAAGCGCCGCAGACCCACGCCACUGUCCGGCUGGCCGGAGCCUUGGCGGAAGCUAAGAUGAGAUCACACCCGCCGGACCCAGCCAGUAGACUCCUACUGGGCCUCUUGCACCCAGGUUUUGGGAGCCUAGUAGACAAGAAAAAAGCAAGAAAGAAAAAAGGGGGAAGAAGAGAGAAGAGGAAAGAGGAAAAGAAAGAGAAGGAAAGAAAACAACCCGACCCCAAACACAACCCGGGCUCCGACCUGUCAGGGUUGGUUGCUUUUCCCGUCUGCCUCUAAAUGAACCUUUUCUCUCUGGUGUUUUCAAAGCGGCCCUUCCACCCCCCAACCUAGGGGCAUUUACACUUCAAACAAGGCACCCGCCUCCCUGCGGAAAUUUAAAGGCAAAUAAACUUUUGGGGAGUUGCUCUGAUACCCAUCUCGGGAUUUGCUUCAUUAGCCGCCUCUGUGCAUCUGA